rnacentral:rRNA from 1 species
UACGUAGGGGGCAAGCGUUGUCCGGAUUCAUUGGGCGUAAAGAGCUCGUAGGCGGCUUGUCACGUCGGGUGUGAAAGCCCGGGGCUUAACCCCGGGUCUGCAUUCGAUACGGGCUGGCUAGAGUGUGGUAGGGGAGAUCGGAAUUCCUGGUGUAGCGGUGAAAUGCGCAGAUAUCAGGAGGAACACCGGUGGCGAAGGCGGAUCUCUGGGCCAUUACUGACGCUGAGGAGCGAAAGCGUGGGGAGCGAACAGG